AAUAACAGCUUCAUCUCUCUCGUAUACCACCCCAAAUCGCCCGACAACCCUACCCCCCAAAUCAAUAUCAUUGAAAAUGGAAGACACAACUUCAUCUCUCUCAAAUCCCAGAGUCCAAAUCACCCGACAACCCUAACCCCAAAUCAAUUUGAUCGGAAAUAGAAGACACGGUAAGGGUGUUUUGCUCAAUUCCUUGGUAUGGAGAGAACAAACACAGGUAUUCCAGUAAUUUUUUCAUUUUUCUCCCCGAUAUCACUACUACUACAUUGGUUGGUCCAAAUAAUGUUGUAUUGAUAAUAUUAUUCCAGUUUCAUUGUGUAAUUUUUGGUUAAAA
rnacentral:lncRNA from 1 species